UUUUAUCUUCAAGCAAUAUCGG
rnacentral:miRNA from 1 species